rnacentral:rRNA from 1 species
GAUGAACGCUGACAGAAUGCUUAACACAUGCAAGUCUUUGGCGAAUCUGUGCUUGCACCGGCUAGCCAAGGCGGACGGGUGAGUAACGCGUAAAGAACUUGCCCUGCAGACAGGGAUAACAGACGGAAACGACUGAUAACACCUGAUACAGUUUCCGGCACGCAUGUGCCUGGCAAUGAAAAGAGAUGCUGCAGGAGAGCUUUGCGUCCUAUUAGCUUGUUGGGGAGGUGACGGCUCACCAAGGCGAUGAUAGGUAGCCGGCCUGAGAGGGUGAACGGCCAAAAGGGGACUGAGAUACGGCCCUGACUCCUACGGGAGGCAGCAGUGGGGAAUAUUGGACAAUGGGGGCAACCCUGAUCCAGCAAUUCUGUGUGCACGAAGAAGGUUUUCGGAUUGUAAAGUGCUUUCAGCAGGGAAGAAGAAAGUGACGGUACCUGCAGAAGAAGCGACGGCUAAAUACGUG